rnacentral:lncRNA from 1 species
UAGUUUGAGAACGUUAUGUAUUAUCUUUCACGAUUGUAAUGGAAAAGUUGCAAGAAUACCUUACAUGCCUUCUCCAAUCUUGGCCAAAGUCGCAAAGAUUUUAACAUUGUUACACAAGUAACUUCAUUAAAGGAACCGCUUGUAUUAUGAUGAAAGAUAUUACUACAUAAUCUUAAGGUGACAUUUAAUUAUCUUACCUUUCUCCAAUCUUGAUUAAAGUUGUAGAGGUUCUAAUAUUAUUAU